rnacentral:rRNA from 1 species
AACAAGGUUUCCGUAGGUGAACCUGCGGAAGGAUCAUUGAUGAGCCCGAGAGCAACCGCGAACCCGAUGCAUAUGCCUGCGGGAGGCGCCGGCCGGCGUCGCCCGCAACGCCCGUCCCCUUCCUCGUCGGUAGGGGUCGUGGCGCACGAGGAUCCCACCAGGCGCCGCGCGCGCGCCAAGGAACGGAAAAUGCGGGGGUCACGCACCCUCGACGAGUCUUUGUAGAAGCAAACGACUCUCGGCAACGGAUAUCUCGGCUCUCGUAUCGAUGAAGAACGUAGCAAAAUGCGAUACUUGGUGUGAAUUGCAGAAUCCCGUGAACCACCGAAUCUUUGAACGCAAGUUGCGCCCGAGGUGUUUCCACCGAGGGCAUGCCUCCCUGGGCUUCACGCAUCGCGUCGCCCCCAUCUCGAUUUCGGGGUGGGAGCGUAAUGUGGCAUCCCGUGCAUCCGUGCCGCGGCCUGCCGAAAUGCCUCGCGUCCGGUACUCUGCGCCCAGGACGCCACGAGCAACGGUGGUCGGAUCGUUCCACUUACCGGCCGUGGUUGGUUCGCCGUGCGCGUGGGUACCCGAUGCAUAUGCCUCCCGUUCGGCGCCGCGUAGCGCCCUCGACCGCGAACCCAGGUGAGGCGGGACCACCCGCUGAGUUUAAGCAUAUCAAUAA